GACGAAGGGGGCUAGCGUUGUUCGGAAUUACUGGGCGUAAAGCGAGUGUAGGUGGUUGUCCAAGUUGGAUGUGAAAGCCUUGAGCUCAACUCAAGAAAUGCAUUCAGGACUGGGCGGCUAGAGGACCGGAGAGGAUAGUGGAAUUCCCAGUGUAGUGGUGAAAUACGUAGAGAUUGGGAAGAACACCAGUGGUGAAGGCGGCAUCCUGGACCGACACUGACGCUGAGGAGCGAAAGCCAGGGGAGCAAACGGG
rnacentral:rRNA from 1 species